CGAACGAAACUUCUUUAUCACCGAGUGCUUGCACUCACCGAUAAAGAGUUGAGUGGCGAACGGGUGAGUAACACGUGGGCAACCUGCCCAAAAGAGGGGGAUAACACUUGGAAACAGGUGCUAAUACCGCAUAACCAUAGUUACCGCAUGGUAACUAUGUAAAAGGUGGCUAUGCUACCGCUUUUGGAUGGGCCCGCGGCGCAUUAGCUAGUUGGCGGGGUAAAGGCUUACCAAGGCAAUGAUGCGUAGCCGAACUGAGAGGUUAAUCGGCCACAUUGGGACUGAGACACGGCCCAAACUCCUACGGGAGGCAGCAGUAGGGAAUCUUCCACAAUGGGCGAAAGCCUGAUGGAGCAACGCCGCGUGGGUGAAGAAGGUCUUCGGAUCGUAAAACCCUGUUGUUAGAGAAGAAAGUGCGUGAGAGUAACUGUUCACGUUUCGACGGUAUCUAACCAGAAAGCCACGGCUAACUACGUGCCAGCAGCCGCGGUAAUACGUAGGUGGCAAGCGUUAUCCGGAUUUAUUGGGCGUAAAGGGAACGCAGGCGGUCUUUUAAGUCUGAUGUGAAAGCCUUCGGCUUAACCGGAGUAGUGCAUUGGAAACUGGGAGACUUGAGUGCAGAAGAGGAGAGUGGAACUCCAUGUGUAGCGGUGAAAUGCGUAGAUAUAUGGAAGAACACCAGUGGCGAAAGCGGCUCUCUGGUCUGUAACUGACGCUGAGGUUCGAAAGCGUGGGUAGCAAACAGGAUUAGAUACCCUGGUAGUCCACGCCGUAAAC
rnacentral:rRNA from 1 species